rnacentral:tRNA from 1 species
AAAGAAGUAUUUCAUAAAAAGCUUCUAACUUUUUUUUAAGCUUUAACUAGCUUAU